rnacentral:rRNA from 2 species
GUUAUAUGGUCAAGUGAAGAAGCGCAUACGGUGGAUGCCUUGGCAGUCAGAGGCGAUGAAAGACGUGGUAGCCUGCGAAAAGCUUCGGGGAGUCGGCAAACAGACUGUGAUCCGGAGAUGUCUGAAUGGGGGAACCCAGCCAUCAUAAGAUGGUUAUCUUGUACUGAAUACAUAGGUGCAAGAGGCGAACCAGGGGAACUGAAACAUCUAAGUACCCUGAGGAAAAGAAAUCAACCGAGAUUCCCUUAGUAGUGGCGAGCGAACGGGGACCAGCCCUUAAGUUGUAUUGAGAUUAGCGGAACACUCUGGAAAGGGUGGCCAUAGUGGGUGAUAGCCCUGUACGCGAAAAUCCCUUUGCAAUGAAAUCGAGUAGGACGGGGCACGAGAAACCUUGUCUGAAUAUGGGGGGACCAUCCUCCAAGGCUAAAUACUACUGACUGACCGAUAGUGAACCAGUACCGUGAGGGAAAGGCGAAAAGAACCGCGGAGAGCGGAGUGAAAUAGAUCCUGAAACCGUAUGCGUACAAGCAGUGGGAGCCCACUUUGUUGGGUGACUGCGUACCUUUUGUAUAAUGGGUCAGCGACUUAUUUUCAGUGGCGAGCUUAACCGAAUAGGGGAGGCGUAGCGAAAGCGAGUCUUAAUAGGGCGUCUAGUCGCUGGGAAUAGACCCGAAACCGGGCGAUCUAUCCAUGGGCAGGUUGAAGGUUGGGUAACACUAACUGGAGGACCGAACCGACUACCGUUGAAAAGUUAGCGGAUGACCUGUGGAUCGGAGUGAAAGGCUAAUCAAGCUCGGAGAUAGCUGGUUCUCCUCGAAAGCUAUUUAGGUAGCGCCUCAUGUAUCACUGUAGGGGGUAGAGCACUGUUUCGGCUAGGGGGUCAUCCCGACUUACCAAACCGAUGCAAACUCCGAAUACCUACAAGUGCCGAGCAUGGGAGACACACGGCGGGUGCUAACGUCCGUCGUGAAAAGGGAAACAACCCAGACCGUCAGCUAAGGUCCCAAAGUCAUGGUUAAGUGGGAAACGAUGUGGGAAGGCUUAGACAGCUAGGAGGUUGGCUUAGAAGCAGCCACCCUUUAAAGAAAGCGUAAUAGCUCACUAGUCGAGUCGGCCUGCGCGGAAGAUGUAACGGGGCUCAAACCAUGCACCGAAGCUACGGGUAUCAUCUUUUGAUGAUGCGGUAGAGGAGCGUUCUGUAAGCCUGUGAAGGUGAGUUGAGAAGCUUGCUGGAGGUAUCAGAAGUGCGAAUGCUGACAUGAGUAACGACAAUGGGUGUGAAAAACACCCACGCCGAAAGACCAAGGUUUCCUGCGCAACGUUAAUCGACGCAGGGUUAGUCGGUCCCUAAGGCGAGGCUGAAAAGCGUAGUCGAUGGAAAACAGGUUAAUAUUCCUGUACUUCUGGUUAUUGCGAUGGAGGGACGGAGAAGGCUAGGCCAGCCUGGCGUUGGUUGUCCAGGUUUAAGGUGGUAGGCUGAGAUCUUAGGUAAAUCCGGGAUCUUAAGGCCGAGAGCUGAUGACGAGUGUUCUUUUAGAACACGAAGUGGUUGAUGCCAUGCUUCCAAGAAAAGCUUCUAAGCUUCAGGUAACCAGGAACCGUACCCCAAACCGACACAGGUGGUUGGGUAGAGAAUACCAAGGCGCUUGAGAGAACUCGGGUGAAGGAACUAGGCAAAAUGGCACCGUAACUUCGGGAGAAGGUGCGCCGGUGGAGGUGAAGCAUUUACUGCGUAAGCCCCUGCCGGUCGAAGAUACCAGGCCGCUGCGACUGUUUAUUAAAAACACAGCACUCUGCAAACACGAAAGUGGACGUAUAGGGUGUGACGCCUGCCCGGUGCCGGAAGGUUAAUUGAUGGGGUUAGCGCAAGCGAAGCUCUUGAUCGAAGCCCCGGUAAACGGCGGCCGUAACUAUAACGGUCCUAAGGUAGCGAAAUUCCUUGUCGGGUAAGUUCCGACCUGCACGAAUGGCGUAACGAUGGCGGCGCUGUCUCCACCCGAGACUCAGUGAAAUUGAAAUCGCUGUGAAGAUGCAGUGUAUCCGCGGCUAGACGGAAAGACCCCGUGAACCUUUACUAUAGCUUUGCACUGGACUUUGAAUUUGCUUGUGUAGGAUAGGUGGGAGGCUUUGAAGCGUGGACGCCAGUCUGCGUGGAGCCAACCUUGAAAUACCACCCUGGCAACUUUGAGGUUCUAACUCAGGUCCGUUAUCCGGAUCGAGGACAGUGUAUGGUGGGUAGUUUGACUGGGGCGGUCUCCUCCUAAAGAGUAACGGAGGAGUACGAAGGUGCGCUCAGACCGGUCGGAAAUCGGUCGUAGAGUAUAAAGGCAAAAGCGCGCUUGACUGCGAGACAGACACGUCGAGCAGGUACGAAAGUAGGUCUUAGUGAUCCGGUGGUUCUGUAUGGAAGGGCCAUCGCUCAACGGAUAAAAGGUACUCCGGGGAUAACAGGCUGAUACCGCCCAAGAGUUCAUAUCGACGGCGGUGUUUGGCACCUCGAUGUCGGCUCAUCACAUCCUGGGGCUGAAGCCGGUCCCAAGGGUAUGGCUGUUCGCCAUUUAAAGUGGUACGCGAGCUGGGUUUAGAACGUCGUGAGACAGUUCGGUCCCUAUCUGCCGUGGACGUUUGAGAUUUGAGAGGGGCUGCUCCUAGUACGAGAGGACCGGAGUGGACGAACCUCUGGUGUUCCGGUUGUCACGCCAGUGGCAUUGCCGGGUAGCUAUGUUCGGAAAAGAUAACCGCUGAAAGCAUCUAAGCGGGAAACUUGCCUCAAGAUGAGAUCUCACUGGAACCUUGAGUUCCCUAAAGGGCCGUCGAAGACUACGACGUUGAUAGGUUGGGUGUGUAAGCGCUGUGAGGCGUUGAGCUAACCAAUACUAAUUGCCCGUGAGGCUUGACCAUAUAACACCCAAGCAAUU